UGCCCUGUGGUGUAAUUGGCAACACGCCUGACUCUGGAUCAGGAGAGCCCAGGUUCGACCCCUGGCGGGGCAG
rnacentral:tRNA from 1 species